CUUCGUUUAUCAGCCUUCAGUUGAAACAUAUAAUCAGCUGUUGCAUCUUGCUUCUGAGCAAGGUAGUUUUGAUGGAAACAAAUAGGCCCAGUUUCUGAUAAAUGCAUCCAUGGUUACCAGGUGGGGACCAAGGCAUACUGAACACAUUUUUUAGCAGCUGGGCAACAACAGAUAUCAGAAAACACCUGCCGUUUAUUUAUAACCUAAGCAGCAUCUCUAUAUACUCCUACCUCC
rnacentral:sRNA from 1 species